rnacentral:rRNA from 1 species
GACGAACGCUGGCGGCGUGCUUAACACAUGCAAGUCGAACGAUGAAGCCGGAGCUUGCUCUGGUGAAUUAGUGGCAAACGGGUGAGUAACACGUGAGUAACCUGCCCUUGACUCUGGGAUAACUGCGGGAAACUGUAGCUAAUACCGGAUACGACCCUCGGAGGCAUCUCCUGGGGGUGGAAAGAAUUUCGGUCAAGGAUGGACUCGCGGCCUAUCAGCUAGUUGGUGAGGUAAAGGCUCACCAAGGCGACGACGGGUAGCCGGCCUGAGAGGGUGACCGGCCGCACUGGGACUGGGACACGGCCCAGACUCCUACGGGAGGCAGCAGUGGGGAAUAUUGCACAAUGGGCGCAAGCCUGAUGCAGCAACGCCGCGUGAGGGAUGACGGCCUUCGGGUUGUAAACCUCUUUUAGCAGGGAAGAAGCGAAAGUGACGGUACCUGCAGAAAAAGCACCGGCUAACUACGUGCCAGCCGCCGCAGUAA